rnacentral:tRNA from 1 species
GGGGGUGUGGCUCAGUAGUAGGGCACUUGGCUUGCAUGCAUGAUGCUGUGGGUUUAAUCCCAGCAUUGCCC